GCUCGCCGCCGCCUCCGCUGCCGCCUUGAUAUAGUGCGGCGCGGGCGGCGCGGCCGCACUUGGCGAGCGGCGCUCGCGGCUGGGGCAGGCGGGCGUCGAAGCGGGUUGCCCGGCGCUCGGCCACCGCCAACUUGGGAAGUGUCCGCCCGGGCGAGCUCCCACCAUGAGCCGCCUCCUGCCUCUCUGCCUGCUCGGAUUGCUCCUGGGCGGCGGGCAAGGUUUCUUCACGCAGAGGAGGGGAUGACAGAACAAUUGGAGAGAAAAGUGGGUGGUAGAGAGGGCAGCUAAGGAAUAAGAUCUUCUCAACAAGAAGGAAUUGCUUACAAACAAGAAGGAA
rnacentral:lncRNA from 1 species